rnacentral:rRNA from 1 species
CCUACGGAGUGCAGCAGUGGGGAAUAUUGCACAAUGGGGGAAACCCUGAUGCAGCGACGCCGCGUGAGCGAUGAAGUAUUUCGGUAUGUAAAGCUCUAUCAGCAGGGAAGAAAAUGACGGUACCUGACUAAGAAGCCCCGGCUAACUACGUGCCAGCAGCCGCGGUAAUACGUAGGGGGCAAGCGUUAUCCGGAUUUACUGGGUGUAAAGGGAGCGUAGACGGCGAGGCAAGCCGGCAGUGAAAUCCCGGGGCUUAACCCCGGGACUGCAUUUGAAACUGUACGGCUGGAGUGUCGGAGAGGCAGGCGGAAUUCCUAGUGUAGCGGUGAAAUGCGUAGAUAUUAGGAGGAACACCAGUGGCGAAGGCGGCCUGCUGGACGAUGACUGACGUUGAGGCUCGAAAGCGUGGGGAGCAAACAGGAUUAGAUACCCCGGUAGUC